rnacentral:lncRNA from 1 species
UCAAAAGUCUUUGGAGCUAAAGUCUUGAUCAAGUUUUCGUGUGGAUCACCAUUGGAGGGCGGACACUUGGACGCCUCGUGGAGAUUGUACACUUUGGAUUAGCGUUUGAGGUAUUCUACUAAUUCUGCAUUUAUUUUAUAUCAUUUGAUUGUAAUCAUUAAGGUGAUCUAGGCUUAAAAGGGUUUCAUGCAUAGGGACUUUAUUAAGAAAUUUUUAAAAUUCCUAGCUUCCG